GACGAACGCUGGCGGCGUGCUUAACACAUGCAAGUCGAACGGAAAGGCCUCUUUCGGGGGGUACUCGAGUGGCGAACGGGUGAGUAACACGUGAGUAACCUGCCCUUGACUUUGGGAUAACUUCAUGAAACUGGGGCUAAUACCGGAUAGGAGCUCCUGCUGCAUGGUGGGGGUUGGAAAGUUUCGGCGGUUGGGGAUGGACUCGCGGCUUAUCAGCUUGUUGGUGGGGUAGUGGCUUACCAAGGCUUUGACGGGUAGCCGGCCUGAGAGGGUGACCGGCCACAUUGGGACUGAGAGAAGGCCCAGACUCCUACGGGAGGCAGCAGUGGGGAAGAUUGCACAAUGGGUGGAAGCCUGAUGCAGCAACGCCGUGUGCGGGAUGACGGCCUUCGGGUUGUAAACCGCUUUCGCUCAUGACGAAGCUUUGUGUGACGGUAGUGGGUAAAGAAGCACCGGCUAACUACGUG
rnacentral:rRNA from 1 species